UACGUAGGGUGCAAGCGUUGUCCGGAAUUAUUGGGCGUAAAGAGCUCGUAGGCGGUUUGUCGCGUCUGCUGUGAAAACCCGAGGCUCAACCUCGGGCCUGCAGUGGGUACGGGCAGACUAGAGUGCGGUAGGGGAGAUUGGAAUUCCUGGUGUAGCGGUGGAAUGCGCAGAUAUCAGGAGGAACACCGGUGGCGAAGGCGGGUCUCUGGGCAACUACUGACGCUGAGGAGCGAAAGCGUGGGGAGCGAACAGG
rnacentral:rRNA from 1 species